rnacentral:rRNA from 1 species
GACAGAGGGUGCAAACGUUGUUCGGAAUUACUGGGCGUAAAGCGAGUGUAGGCGGUUUGGAAAGUCGGAUGUGAAAGCCCCGGGCUCAACCCGGGAAGUGCACUCGAUACUCCCAAGCUAGAGUAUCGGAGAGGUUGGUGGAAUUCUCGGUGUAGAGGUGAAAUUCGUAGAUAUCGAGAGGAACAUCGGUGGCGAAGGCGGCCAACUGGACGAAUACUGACGCUGAGACUCGAAAGCGUGGGGAGCAAACAGG